rnacentral:rRNA from 1 species
UACAGAGGGUGCAAGCGUUAAUCGGAAUUACUGGGCGUAACGCGUGCGUAGACGGUUAUUUAAGUCAGGUGUGAAAGCCCCGGGCUCAACCUGGGAAUUGCAUUCGAGACUGAAUAGCUAGGGUACGGUAGAGGGAAGUGGAAUUUCCGGUGUAGCGGUGAAAUGCGUAGAUAAUCGGAAGGAACAUCAGUGGCGAAAGCGACUUCCUGGACCAGUACCGACGUCAGGCACGAAAGCGUGGGGAGCAAACAGG